rnacentral:rRNA from 1 species
AUGCUUUACACAUGCAAGUCGAGCGGCAGCGCGGGGGCAACCCUGGCGGCGAGCGGCGAACGGGUGAGUAAUGUAUCGGAACGUACCCAGUCGUGGGGGAUAACACAGCGAAAGCUGUGCUAAUACCGCAUACGUCCUGAGGGAGAAAGCGGGGGACCUGCAAGGGCCUCGCGCGAUUGGAGCGGCCGAUAUCGGAUUAGCUAGUUGGUGAGGUAAAGGCUCACCAAGGCGACGAUCCGUAGCUGGUCUGAGAGGACGACCAGCCACACUGGAACUGAGACACGGUCCAGACUCCUACGGGAGGCAGCAGUGGGGAAUUUUGGACAAUGGGG